rnacentral:rRNA from 1 species
CCUGAUCCAGCCAUGCCGCGUGUGUGAAGAAGGCCUUCGGGUUGUAAAGCACUUUCAGCGAGGAAGAACGCCUUGGGAUUAAUACUCCCGAGGAAAGACAUCACUCGCAGAAGAAGCACCGGCUAACUCCGUGCCAGCAGCCGCGGUAAUACGGAGGGUGCAAGCGUUAAUCGGAAUUACUGGGCGUAAAGCGCGCGUAGGUGGCUAAGUCAGCCAGGUGUGAAAGCCCCGGGCUCAACCUGGGAACGGCAUCUGGAACUGCUUGGCUAGAGUGCAGGAGAGGAAGGUAGAAUUCCCGGUGUAGCGGUGAAAUGCGUAGAGAUCGGGAGGAAUACCAGUGGCGAAGGCGGCCUUCUGGACUGACACUGACACUGAGGUGCGAAAGCGUGGGUAGCAAACAGGAUUAGAUACCCUGGUAGUCCACGCCGUAAACGAUGUCAACUAGCCGUUGGGUCCCUUGAGGACUUAGUGGCGCAGCUAACGCAAUAAGUUGACCGCCUGGGGAGUACGGCCGCAAGGUUAAAACUCAAAUGAAUUGACGGGGGCCCGCACAAGCGGUGGAGCAUGUGGUUUAAUUCGAUGCAACGCGAAGAACCUUACCUACCCUUGACAUCCAGAGGACUUUCCAGAGAUGGAUUGGUGCCUUCGGGAACUCUGAGACAGGUGCUGCAUGGCUGUCGUCAGCUCGUGUUGUGAAAUGUUGGGUUAAGUCCCGUAACGAGCGCAACCCCUAUCCUUAUUUGCCAGCGAGUAAUGUCGGGAACUCUAAGGAGACUGCCGGUGACAAACCGGAGGAAGGUGGGGACGACGU